AUACUUACCUGGCAGGGGAGAUACCAUGAUCACGAAGGUGGUUUUCCCAGGGCGAGGCUUACCCAUUGCACUCCGGAUGUGCUGACCCCUGCGAUUUCCCCAAAUGUGGGAAACUCGACUGCAUAAUUUGUGGUAGUGGGGGACUGCGUUCGCGCUUUCCCCUG
rnacentral:snRNA from 1 species